UACAGAGGUCUCAAGCGUUGUUCGGAUUUAUUGGGCGUAAAGGGUGCUCAGGCGGUGUGGUAAGUUUGGUGUGAAAUCCUGGGGCUCAACCCCAGAAUUGCACUGGAUACUGCCAUGCUAGAGGACUGGAGAGGAGAUUGGAAUUCACGGUGUAGCAGUGAAAUGCGUAGAUAUCGUGAGGAAGACCAGUGGCGAAGGCGAAUCUCUGGACAGUUCCUGACGCUCAUGCACGAAGGCCAGGGGAGCAAACGGG
rnacentral:rRNA from 1 species